UACACGCUGUGACUAGCAUAUCAAUAAGCGGAGGAAAAGUCAACUACCUACGCUUAGGAUGUUGACACACGCGCGUGCUCGAUGAUAGUCUAUACAUGACUCUGUGCAUAUCAAUAAGCGGAGGAAAAGAAACUAACAAGGAUUCCCCUAGUAACGGCGAGUGAAGCGGGAAGAGCUCAAAUUUGAAAUCUUAAAGGGUUUCCCUUUACGAAUUGUAGUUUAAAGAAGUGUUUUCUGUUGAGGUUUUGGUAAAAGUUCUUUGGAAUAGGACAUCAUAGAGGGUGAGAAUCCCGUAUUUGACCUUUACUUUCAACUUUGUGAUACACUUUCAAAGAGUCGGAUUGUUUGGGAAUGCAGUCCAAAAUGGGUGGUAAAUUUCAUCUAAAGCUAAAUAUUGGCGAGAGACCGAUAGCGAACAAGUACCGUGAGGGAAAGAUGAAAAGAACUUUGAAAAGAGAGUAAAACAGUACGUGAAAUUGUCAAAAGGGAAGCGUUUGACACCAGUGUUGUUUUUCUGAGAAUCAAUUAAAGAACUGUUUAUGCUAAGUUGUUUAGACUUUAUCAGCUAACUGUUUAGUUUUGAGCUUUUCUUUAAUGCACUUUUCAGUUAACAAGUCAACAUCAAUUUCUUUUGCUGUAAAAAAGCUUGAGGAAGGUGGCUUGAGAUUCGUCUUAAGUGUUUAUAGCCUCUUGCCUAUGCAGUCGGAGAGAUUGAGGUCUGCAGCGUAGAUCCUUCGGGGCUAAAUGCAUUUGUGCUAAGUUAUAGCAUUUUAUAGACAACUUGUUGACUAUGAUUUGUCUUGUAGCUUACUCGCUUAUGUUAUUUUACCUACGCUUAGGAUGUUGAAGAUGUAGCACAUCAU
rnacentral:rRNA from 1 species